rfam:Ricinus communis cultivar Hale ctg_1100012355052, whole genome shotgun sequence.
GCAAAUAUAGUCGAAUGGUAAAAUUUCUCUUUGCUAAAGAGAAGAUGUGGGUUCGAUUCCCCCUCUUCGCC